rnacentral:rRNA from 1 species
UACAGAGGGUGCGAGCGUUAAUCGGAAUUACUGGGCGUAAAGCGUGCGUAGACGGUUAUUUAAGUCGGGUGUGAAAGCCCCGGGCUCAACCUGGGAAUUGCAUUCGAAACUGCAGAGCUGGAGUCCUGGAGAGGAAGGCGGAAUUCUCGGUGUAGAGGUGAAAUUCGUAGAUAUCGAGAGGAACACCGGUGGCGAAGGCGGCCUUCUGGACAGUGACUGACGCUGAGACGCGAAAGCGUGGGGAGCAAACAGG